GCCUAGCCCCGAUAGUAGUGGAAAUCCUUUUAUGUUUAUUCUUUAAAAACAUAAAAGAUUGAAACGUCCCGAAGCUUCGGGAGCGGGAAAUAGC
rnacentral:sRNA from 1 species